UACGGAGGGUGCAAACGUUGCUCGGAAUCAUUGGGCGUAAAGCGCACGUAGGCGGUCCGCUAAGUCGGGAGUGAAAGCCCUCGGCUCAACCGAGGAAGUGCUUUCGAAACUGACGGACUUGAAUACUGGAGAGGAUCGCGGAAUUCCCGGUGUAGAGGUGAAAUUCGUAGAUAUCGGGAGGAACACCAGUGGCGAAGGCGGCGAUCUGGACAGAUAUUGACGCUGAGGUGCGAAGGCGUGGGGAGCGAACAGG
rnacentral:rRNA from 1 species